rnacentral:rRNA from 2 species
ACGGGUGAGUAAUAUAUCGGAACGUGCCCAGUCGUGGGGGAUAACUACUCGAAAGAGUAGCUAAUACCGCAUACGACCUGAGGGUGAAAGCGGGGGAUCGCAAGACCUCGCGCGAUUGGAGCGGCCGAUAUCAGAUUAGGUAGUUGGUGGGGUAAAAGCCCACCAAGCCAACGAUCUGUAGCUGGUCUGAGAGGACGACCAGCCACACUGGGACUGAGACACGGCCCAGACUCCUACGGGAGGCAGCAGUGGGGAAUUUUGGACAAUGGGCGCAAGCCUGAUCCAGCCAUGCCGCGUGCGGGAAGAAGGCCUUCGGGUUGUAAACCGCUUUUGUCAGGGAAGAAAAGGUUCUGGUUAAUACCUGGGACUCAUGACGGUACCUGAAGAAUAAGCACCGGCUAACUACGUGCCAGCAGCCGCGGUAAUACGUAGGGUGCAAGCGUUAAUCGGAAUUACUGGGCGUAAAGCGUGCGCAGGCGGUUAUGCAAGACAGAGGUGAAAUCCCCGGGCUCAACCUGGGAACUGCCUUUGUGACUGCAUAGCUAGAGUACGGUAGAGGGGGAUGGAAUUCCGCGUGUAGCAGUGAAA